GUGACCGUGGCCGAGUGGCUUAGGCGGCAGAAUGUGGAUCUGUCCACGAGGGUUCAAUUCCCUCCGGUCACCCCA
rnacentral:tRNA from 1 species